GGGACACGUGGUAUCCUGUCUGAAUAUGGGGGGACCAUCCUCCAAGGCUAAAUACUCCUGACUGACCGAUAGUGAACCAGUACCGUGAGGGAAAGGCGAAAAGAACCCCGGCGAGGGGAGUGAAAAAGAACCUGAAACCGUGUACGUACAAGCAGUGGGAGCCUCUUAAUGGGGUGACUGCGUACCUUUUGUAUAAUGGGUCAGCGACUUAUAUUCUGUAGCAAGGUUAACCGAAUAGGGGAGCCGAAGGGAAACCGAGUCUUAACUGGGCGUUAAGUUGCAGGGUAUAGACCCGAAACCCGGUGAUCUAGCCAUGGGCAGGUUGAAGGUUGGGUAACACUAACUGGAGGACCGAACCGACUAAUGUUGAAAAAUUAGCGGAUGACUUGUGGCUGGGGGUGAAAGGCCAAUCAAACCGGGAGAUAGCUGGUUCUCCCCGAAAGCUAUUUAGGUAGCGCCUCGUGAAUUCAUCUCCGGGGGUAGAGCACUGUUUCGGCAAGGGGGUCAUCCCGACUUACCAACCCGAUGCAAACUGCGAAUACCGGAGAAUGUUAUCACGGGAGACACAC
rnacentral:rRNA from 1 species